rnacentral:rRNA from 1 species
ACGUAGGUGGCAAGCGUUAUCCGGAAUUAUUGGGCGUAAAGAGGGAGCAGGCGGCAGCAAGGGUCUGUGGUGAAAGCCUGAAGCUUAACUUCAGUAAGCCAUAGAAACCAGGCAGCUAGAGUGCAGGAGAGGAUCGUGGAAUUCCAUGUGUAGCGGUGAAAUGCGUAGAUAUAUGGAGGAACACCAGUGGCGAAGGCGACGAUCUGGCCUGCAACUGACGCUCAGUCCCGAAAGCGUGGGGAGCAAAUAG